GACGAACGCUGGCGGCGUGCUUAACACAUGCAAGUCGAACGGAAAGGCCCUGCUUUUGUGGGGUGCUCGAGUGGCGAACGGGUGAGUAACACGUGAGUAACCUGCCCUUGACUUAGGGAUAACUUCAGGAAACUGGGGCUAAUACCGGAUAGGAGCUCCUGCUGCAUGGUGGGGGUUGGAAAGUUUCGGCGGAUGGGGAUGGACUCGCGGCUUAUCAGCUUGUUGGUGGGGUAGUGGCUUACCAAGGCUUUGACGGGUAGCCGGCCUGAGAGGGUGACCGGCCACAUUGGGACUGAGAUACGGCCCAGACUCCUACGGGAGGCAGCAGUGGGGAAUAUUGCACAAUGGGCGGAAGCCUGAUGCAGCAACGCCGCGUGCGGGAUGACGGCCUUCGGGUUGUAAACCGCUUUCGCCUGUGACGAAGCGUGAGUGACGGUAAUGGGUAAAGAAGCACCGGCUAACUACGUG
rnacentral:rRNA from 1 species